rnacentral:rRNA from 1 species
GAAGGAGGAGGGAAGCGUUAUCCGGAAUUAUUGGGCGUAAAGGGUACGUAGGCGGCUGGUCAAGUAUGGGGUCAAAAGCCACAGCUCAACUGUGGGAAGGCCCUGGAAACUGACCGGCUAGAGUGAGGUAGGGGUUGCGGGAAUUCCCGGUGUAGCGGUGAAAUGCGUAGAGAUCGGGAAGAACACCUGAGGCGGAAGCGCGCAACUGGGCCUCAACUGACGCUGAGGUACGAAAGCUAGGGGAGCGAAUGGG